UUGGCGAAUAAGUAUAUGAUUAAACAGAGAAUUCAAGGAUCAAGGGAAAGCUUUUCAAGGCCAUGGUUUGAAGCUUUUUUCAUUUCAAGAGCUCUCUUAUAAGGGGGGUCAAUUGGAGGCUGCACAGGGUCCAAAAUCUUGUAGGAACCAUCAGGGGCUUUAGAAAGCGGAUAUGAUCGGUCCGAGUCAUAACCACUAAGGUCUCCACACGCCAGAAAUGGUAUAUAAACCUUGUUUGGCCCUUCUAACCAUCCACUACUACAAUCUAGACCUAAGUCGUCUGCACCAGAUGGAGUUCCGACCUUCUCAAGGAGGCGAUGCAAAUCUUUCUCAUUGAAGCCUUCUGGAGGUGAAUAAUUUUCACAAACAGCAAAUGCCUCU
rnacentral:lncRNA from 1 species